CCUACGGGAGGCAGCAGUGAGGAAUAUUGGUCAAUGGACGAGAGUCUGAACCAGCCAAGUAGCGUGAAGGAUGACUGCCCUAUGGGUUGUAAACUUCUUUUAUAUGGGAAUAAAACGUUCCACGUGUGGGAUUUUGUAUGUACCAUAUGAAUAAGGAUCGGCUAACUCCGUGCCAGCAGCCGCGGUAAUACGGAGGAUCCGAGCGUUAUCCGGAUUUAUUGGGUUUAAAGGGAGCGUAGGUGGAUUGUUAAGUCCGUUGUGAAAGUUUGCGGCUCAACCGUAAAAUUGCAGUUGAAACUGGCAGUCUUGAGUACAGUAGAGGUGGGCGGAAUUCGUGGUGUAGCGGUGAAAUGCUUAGAUAUCACGAAGAACUCCGGUUGCGAAGGCAGUUCACUGGACUGCAACUGACACUGAGGCUCGAAAGUGUGGGUAUCAAACAGGAUUAGAUACCCUUGUAGUC
rnacentral:rRNA from 1 species